AUUGAACGCUGGCGGCAUGCUUUACACAUGCAAGUCGAACGGUAACAGGGAGCUUGCUCCGCUGACGAGUGGCGAACGGGUGAGUAAUAUAUCAGAACGUACCCAAGCGUGGGGGAUAACGUAGCGAAAGUUACGCUAAUACCGCAUACGAUCUAUGGAUGAAAGCAGGCGACCUUCGGGCCUUUUGCUCCUGUAGCGGCAGAUAUCUGAUUGGCUGGUUGGGGAGGUAAAGGCUCAUCAAGGCGAGGAUCAGUAGCUGGUCUGAGAGGACGACCAGCCACCGUGGAAUGGAGACACGGUCCAGACCCGUACGGGAGGCACGGGGGGGGAAUUUAGGAGAGGGGGCGGAAGCGUAAUCUGGAAAAGCCGCGUGAGGUAAAAAGGCUUUCGGGUGGGAAGUCUCUUUUGUCAGGAAAGGGGCAGGAUGGGCUACAAUCCAGCCUUAUUGAAGGUACCGGAAGAAUAAGCACCGGCAAACUCCGU
rnacentral:rRNA from 1 species